UACGAAGGGGGCUAGCGUUGCUCGGAAUCACUGGGCGUAAAGCGCACGUAGGCGGCUUUUUAAGUCAGGGGUGAAAUCCUGGAGCUCAACUCCAGAACUGCCUUUGAUACUGGGAAGCUUGAGUCCGGGAGAGGUGAGUGGAACUCCGAGUGUAGAGGUGAAAUUCGUAGAUAUUCGCAAGAACACCAGUGGCGAAGGCGGCUCACUGGUCCGGUACUGACGCUGAGGUGCGAAAGCGUGGGGAGCAAGCAGG
rnacentral:rRNA from 1 species